UUUUUGAGAACAAGAAGAAGAAGAACA
rnacentral:piRNA from 2 species